GAUGAACGCUGGCGGCGUGCCUAAUACAUGCAAGUCGAGCGAACAGACGAGGAGCUUGCUCCUCUGACGUUAGCGGCGGACGGGUGAGUAACACGUGGAUAACCUACCUAUAAGACUGGGAUAACUUCGGGAAACCGGAGCUAAUACCGGAUAAUAUAUUGAACCGCAUGGUUCAAUAGUGAAAGACGGUUUUGCUGUCACUUAUAGAUGGAUCCGCGUCGCAUUAGCUAGUUGGUAAGGUAACGGCUUACCAAGGCAACGAUGCGUAGCCGACCUGAGAGGGUGAUGGGCGACACUGGGACUGAGACACGGACCAGACUCCUACGGGAGGCAGCAGUAUGGAAUCUUCCACAAUAGGCGAAAGCCUGACGGAGCAACGCCGCGUGAGUGAUGAAGAUCCUCGGAUCGUAAAACUCUGUUAUUAGGGAAGAACAAAGGUAUAAGUAACUAUGCACGUCUUGACGGUACCUAAUCAGAAAGCCACGGCUAACUACGUG
rnacentral:rRNA from 1 species